GACGAACGCUGGCGGCGUGCCUAAUACAUGCAAGUAGAACGCACAGUUUAUACCGUAGCUUGCUCCACCAUAGACUGUGAGUUGCGAACGGGUGAGUAACGCGUAGGUAACCUGCCUGGUAGCGGGGGAUAACUAUUGGAAACGAUAGCUAAUACCGCAUAAUAUUGAUUAUUGCAUGAUAAUUGAUUGAAAGAUGCUAUUGCAUCACUACCAGAUGGACCUGCGUUGUAUUAGCUAGUAGGUGAGGUAACGGCUCACCUAGGCGACGAUACAUAGCCGACCUGAGAGGGUGAUCGGCCACACUGGGACUGAGACACGGCCCAGACUCCUACGGGAGGCAGCAGUAGGGAAUCUUCGGCAAUGGACGAAAGUCUGACCGAGCAACGCCGCGUGAGUGGAGAAGGUUUUCGGAUCGUAAAGCUCUGUUGUAAGAGAAGAACGGGUGUGAGAGUGGAAAGUUCACACUGUGACGGUAUCUUACCAGAAAGGGACGGCUAACUACGUG
rnacentral:rRNA from 1 species